rnacentral:rRNA from 1 species
AGUGAAGCGGCAACAGCUCAAAUUUGAAAUCUGGCCCCCCGGCCCGAGUUGUAAUUUGGAGAGGAUGCUUUUGGCGCGGCGCCGUCCGAGUUCCUUGGAACAGGACGCCACAGAGGGUGAGAGCCCCGUACGGACGGACGCCUAGCCUUUACAAAGCUCCUUCGACGAGUCGAGUAGUUUGGGAAUGCUGCUCAAAAUGGGAGGUAAAUUUCUUCUAAAGCUAAAUACCGGCCAGAGACCGAUAGCGCACAAGUAGAGUGAUCGAAAGAUGAAAAGCACUUUGAAAAGAGGGUUAAAAAGUACGUGAAAUUGUUGAAAGGGAAGCGCCUGUGACCAGACUUGCGCCCCGUGGACCAUCCGGCGUUCUCGCCGGUGCACUCUGCGGGGCGCAGGCCAGCAUCGGUUCUCCUAGGGGGAUAAAGGCCGCGGGAACGUAGCUCCUUCGGGAGUGUUAUAGCCCGCGGUGGCAUGCCCCUGGGGGGACCGAGGACCGCGCUUCGGCAAGGAUGCUGGCGUAAUGGUCACCAGCGACCCGUCUUGAAACACGGACCAAGGAGUCAAGCAUUGGGGCGAGUGUAUGGGUGCCAAACCCGCACGCGAAAUGAAAGUAAACGCAGGUGAGAGCUUCGGCGCAUCAUCGACCGAUCCUGAUGUCUUCGGAUGGAUUUGAGUAAGAGCCUUACCGCUUGGACCCGAAAGAUGGUGAACUAUGCCUGAAUAGGGUGAAGCCAAGGAAGACUCUGGUGGAGGCUCGCAGCGGUUUCUGACGUGCAAAUCGAUCGUCAAAUUUGGGCA